rnacentral:rRNA from 1 species
CCCUUAGAUGUUCUGGGCCGCACACGCACUACACUGAAGGAGGCAGCGUGUACUCCUGGAUCGAAAGAUUUGGGUAACCCGCGAAUCUCCUUCGUGCUAGGGAUUGAGGUUUGCAAUUAUCCUUCAUGAACGAGGAAUUCCCAGUAAGUGCAAGUCAUAAGCUUGCGCUGACUACGUCCCUGCCCUUUGUACACACCGCCCGUCGCUACUACCGAUUGAAUGAUUUAGUGAGGACUUCGGACUGGGACCGAUGCGGCUUUCGGGCUGCGUCGGUAUUCUGGAAAGAUGUCCAAACUGUAUCAUUUAGAGGAAGUUGAAGUCGUAACA